rnacentral:lncRNA from 10 species
GUGCCACCUUAAAAGCUGUAACACUCACCAAGAGGGUCCGCGGCUUCAUUCUUGAAGUCAGACCAAGAACCCACUAAUUCCAGGCCCAGUCAGUCUUACCAUCAUCAUGAUACGUUAACUAAUGUUUAUUGAGCAUGUACAAUGUAUCUGUCCUUGUUUUGAGGUCUCUGUUUGAAUCACCUAAAUUCAUCUUUUUACCAACCCUAUAAAAAGCCUAUUAAGAUCCCCAUUGUGCACAUGAGACUCAGAGAGGUAAAACUAUGGAAUGAGACCACUGCUUCUCCUGUUGUCCUUCUUAGCUUCUCCCCCACCUCCCCUUUGCCCUAGUUUAUGAGACAGGAGAAAAGGGAGAAAGCAAAAAGUUGGAAAGAAACAGAAGUAAGAUAAAUAGCUAGACGAUCCUGGCGCCAGCACCUGGGUGGUGGUUAAAAUAAUAACACCAGU